GAUGAACGCUGGCGGCGUGCCUAAUACAUGCAAGUCGAGCGAACGGACGAGAAGCUUGCUUUUCUGAUGUUAGCGGCGGACGGGUGAGUAACACGUGGAUAACCUACCUAUAAGACUGGGAUAACUUCGGGAAACCGGAGCUAAUACCGGAUAAUAUAUUGAACCGCAUGGUUCAAUAGUGAAAGACGGUCUUGCUGUCACUUAUAGAUGGAUCCGCGCCGCAUUAGCUAGUUGGUAAGGUAACGGCUUACCAAGGCAACGAUGCAUAGCCGACCUGAGAGGGUGAUCGGCCACACUGGAACUGAGACACGGUCCAGACUCCUACGGGAGGCAGCAGUAGGGAAUCUUCCGCAAUGGGCGAAAGCCUGACGGAGCAACGCCGCGUGAGUGAUGAAGGUCUUCGGAUCGUAAAACUCUGUUAUUAGGGAAGAACAAAUGUGUAAGUAACUAUGCACGUCUUGACGGUACCUAAUCAGAAAGCCACGGCUAACUACGUG
rnacentral:rRNA from 1 species